rnacentral:rRNA from 1 species
UACGUAGGGUGCGAGCGUUAAUCGGAAUUACUGGGCGUAAAGCGUGCGCAGGCGGUUAUGCAAGACAGAUGUGAAAUCCCCGGGCUCAACCUGGGAACUGCAUUUGUGACUGCAUGGCUAGAGUACGGUAGAGGGGGAUGGAAUUCCGCGUGUAGCAGUGAAAUGCGUAGAUAUGCAGAGGAACACCGAUGGCGAAGGCAAUCCCCUGGACCUGUACUGACGCUCAUGCACGAAAGCGUGGGGAGCAAACAGG